CUGGGGUGUUCCUGGGAAGGAGCUGAGAUCCACACAUCUGAAGGAGACAGAAGGACCCAGGGAGUUUUCAGUUCCAGUCCCCAGAGCCACAGUCCACCGGGCUGCUCUCACAGUCUGGUGCAGGCAGUCACGGCCGCGGUGAGUUCAUGAGUGCAGCAGUCCUGUCAUAUCCAGAAGACGCUCUUUCGGUCUGCUCCUCCCCAACCUCUGGCUCCUACAAUCUGCGCAUGACUGUCGGCCUUUGGAGAUGGCUUGUGCGGACUAUAGAAAUUUGGUAACGUGGCCAGAGAAGUCCUAGAAUGCUACAAACAGCCUAAUGGGCCAUCCUGUUGGGAGUUUUGAAGACUAGAAUGCUGAUAGAAAUGCAGGCCCUGGAAGGUGGGGAGAUGCUCAAGCGUGUGGAUCUGAGUUUGUUUCCCCUGAAGCCAUGGAAAAGCCAGAAAAGAACACAUGCACAUCUGUAAUCACAGCAAUUGGGGGCAAAGAUAAGUGGAUUCUGGGACUCUGGGGAGCUGGCCAACACUGCAAAGUUCUGUGAAAGAUCAUACCUGGCAAAACAAAACAAAACAGUGAGGAAGCAACUGAGACAGCAUCCAAUCAAGUUUUACCGCCCUAAGCAGCUGCAUGGAAAAGCACACCCACGCAUGUGCACAGACAGACAGACACACACACACACAGAGACAGACAGAGAGAUGCUGACAGUGGAAACUGAGCUCAUUAGGUCUCAUAGAGAAACAAGCAGUCUGUCAGGAAUUAGACUAGAGGUCAUGUGUGUUAUAUUCUGGUAAAAAGCCUGUUGAGCCUGAAUCCUGAAGGCUGUGUGAGACUGAAUCCAAAAAUAAUGGCCGAAGCUGUUUGGCAAAGGGAAUUCAAGACAGCAGAGCAUUCAGGCUGUUGUAUGGUUACUGCUCAUUGCCCCUAGCCAAACAGACAGAGCAGAAAAAAAAAAUUUUUUUAAAUGUGUAGCUUGGCAAGGAAAGAGACUUAGGUCAGUUUGACAUCUGUGAACAAAGUCCUGUGGACAAAGCAAAGGUAAUUAAUGAAGAUAAUGAAAGCAUUUUACACUGAAGCAGUAAGAAUGGAGCCUUGGGACAGGACUCCACCCAUUCACAUCUCCAGGACAUUGAAAUUCAUUUGAAAGGAAAAUGGGUUUAGAUUACCCCUGCUCUAAAAAAUAAAAAUAAACCAACAGGGAAACCUUUUCUCCGCCUCCACCCAGGCACGGAGAUCAUUGCAGCUGUGGUAAAUUGGGCAGGCCACCUUUUGAGCUAGCGGCAUCACCACCCACACAGUGCUGAUUUUGCAGACAGGAAAAUGCAAGAGUUACAGGUUCUUAGAGCUUGUACCCCAUUCUGGAAAGCCCUUGAAGCACGAUGAUGGGUGGCAUUACUGGAUUUUUUUCCAUGGAGGCCUUGAGCUUCACUGGGUGACGCUAUGAAGAUAAGGCCCGAGAUGUAAGAGACCCACAGUGUUGGAGAUUCCAGGACCGGAGGACAUCUGCUGAGGAAAGCAAAGGCCGUGGACCCAAACCAGCCCAAGACAGAGGCUACAUGUUCACAAGGUGACAAAACCAGAGUGAAGGGGGAUGAUGAGCCAAGUCCACUGGAGCCCAGAGGAUGCCACCCAUCAAGAGUCCAGGAUGCUGGACAUGAAGCUAAGGGUUUGGUAUUUUCCCUGCUGGAUUUGGUCUUGCUUUGGUGUCUUACGGUUUCUAUUUCUGUGACGAACUUCAUGAUGUAGGAAUCAGUACCCAAAAUUAGGUCCUCAAGAAGAGGAAGCCACUGAGCCAUUGCUCCAGCUCCUCGUCUGAUCUUUGAUACCCCGUUCCCUCUCCUGUGGAAUAGAAUGUUUACUUUGUGUCAGCAUACAUGAGAAGGGCUCACAGUGAAGGGAUUGCCCGAGACUCAGAAGAGUCUUUGGAUUUUGAAAGGUAUUAGGACUACUAAUAUUUGGGGUCCUCUCAGAGAUCAUAUUAAAUGCAUUUUUGUAGCAUGAGGUGAACAAAAAUAUGCCUCCCCGUAUUGCCACACUAUCAUAACCUUCUAUUCUGCUUUGAGUGUGAAAGGUCCACCGUAAAUCCUCGUGUUUAAAUGUUUGGACCUCGACGGGGAACACUUUUCUGAAAACCUACGGGGUGGGGAGUGUGGACCCUCAUUCCUCAUUGGGAGCAGUGAGUCACUGGGGAGGGGCCUUGAGGUUUGGUAACCCAGAUCCACUUUCUUUGCCCUCCGUGUAACCAGUCAUCUGAUAUUCCUGCCACCGUGCCUUCCCCAGCACAAGGGGCUAUGUCCCUUCAAACUGUGAGCCAAAACAGACCCUUCUUCCCUUAAGCUGCCUUUGUCAGAUGUUGCCACAGCAGUGAGGAAAAAUAGUACUCCUUCCUAUUUUCAAAAAACCACUUAAGAGUUCUUGCUGUGAUCUCUCAUAAGCUCCACAGUGCCUCAGUACCCUUGCGUGUGCUGACUCCUCUCCAUGGAGCUUUCUUCCCUCUCUGCGUCUUUUCUCUUGUCACAACCAGCCUCUUUUUUUGUCUAUUACUUAGUGAACUUCUCUGGCGAAGCUGGAGCCAUCCUCUAUAUUCUUGGUGCCUUGCAGAAGGUUGCUUCAAAAAAGGUUCCCGCCCAGGCAAAACUCUGUAUGUGGUAAGCUCUCAGCUUCCUCCUUGCCGUGCUGGCCCAUCUAGCCGGCAUGCAGCCUGUGCUGUUCCUCAUGCCCAAGCAUCUUUGUUGUGGUUGUUUGAUGCAGCUGUCAGUUUUGAGAGAGAAUCUUGCUCCGUAGCACAGCCUGGCUUUGAAUUUGUGGCAACCCUCUUACCUCUGGCCUGAGUGGCAUGAUCUGCCACAUCCGGCAUGACCAGGUAUCUUUAAAAGCAUCCAAUGCCUCCUCUACCCAAGUGUUCCUGUACCCACCUACAUGGAAACAAGUGCUUUCAAAUGUCUCUGAGGAACUACUGCAUGCUUUAG